rnacentral:rRNA from 1 species
AUUGAACGCUGGCGGCAUGCCUUACACAUGCAAGUCGAACGGCAGCACGGGAGCAAUCCUGGUGGCGAGUGGCGAACGGGUGAGUAAUAUAUCGGAACGUGCCCAGUCGUGGGGAUAACGUAGCGAAAGCUACGCUAAUACCGCAUACGAUCUAUGGAUGAAAGCGGGGGAUCGCAAGACCUCGCGCGAUUGGAGCGGCCGAUAUCAGAUUAGGUAGUUGGUGAGGUAAAGGCUCACCAAGCCGACGAUCUGUAGCUGGUCUGAGAGGACGACCAGCCACACUGGGACUGAGACACGGCCCAGACUCCUACGGAGGCAGCAGUGGGGAAUUUUGGACGAUGGGCGCAAGCCUGAUCCAGCAAUGCCGCGUGCAGGAUGAAGGCCUCGGUUGUAAC